CGGCGGACGGGUGAGUAACACGUGGAUAACCUACCUAUAAGACUGGGAUAACUUCGGGAAACCGGAGCUAAUACCGGAUAAUAUAUUGAACCGCAUGGUUCAAUAGUGAAAGACGGUUUUGCUGUCACUUAUAGAUGGAUCCGCGCCGCAUUAGCUAGUUGGUAAGGUAACGGCUUACCAAGGCAACGAUGCGUAGCCGACCUGAGAGGGUGAUCGGCCACACUGGAACUGAGACAAGGUCCAG
rnacentral:rRNA from 1 species